rnacentral:rRNA from 1 species
UACGGGGGGGUGCGAGCGUUGUCCGGAAUCACUGGGCGUAAAGGGCGCGUAGGUGGUUUUGAUAAGGCUGUGGUGAAAAGCCCCGGGGGCUCAACCCCCGGGUCUGCCGUGGCGACUGUCAGACUUGAGGGCUCGAGAGGCAGACGGAAUUCCGGGUGUAGCGGUGGAAUGCGUAGAGAUCCGGAAGAAGACCGGUGGCGAAGGCGGUCUGCUGGCGAGUACCUGACACUGAUGCGCGACAGCGUGGGGAGCAAACAGGGAUUAGAUACCCCG